rnacentral:lncRNA from 1 species
CUGGCGAGCUUGGUGUGGCGAGUCCUAUAGCAUCGACAAGUCACGUGGUACAUCUAUGGAAGAGUGACCAACUUACUUAAUGAACAUGCAAUAAUAUAAUAAAUGAAGUUUUUAGUAGAAUAAUAAAUAGAAAACAAUUAUUAUCAACAGCUUUUUAAAUGAAAUUUUUAUUUAUCAUUGAAAUAUAUUGUGCCUCAGGCUUAAUGAUAUAAUGAAAUAUACAAUGUAUGGACUUUUGUUUUCUUUUCAGGAUAAGUUUUUAGGUUAUUUCUAUUUUAUGCGGUUUCGAUAUCGGUUCUCGGUUGUUAGGUAGACUGUUUUUUAAAAGUUUUGAGUUAAAAGUUUUAAAAAUUAAAUUUUUUGCUAACAACAGCAUCAAUUUCAUUUUUAUUCACUACAGAAACUUGAAUAAAUAAUUUUCCACAUUCCUUAUUUCAGUUUCUUAAACAGGAUGUUGGAAGUUGAAUGUUAUAAGUUUAAGCCGCGUUUACACCGGAGUUGGCAAUAAAAAAUUGCCAAUUUCGAUUGCAGACGCUAGUUGCCGAUGGAAGUCUGCAACUUGUACUUGCAACCUGGGCACAUAGUUUGUUUUUAGGUCUGCAACCUGCAACUUGCAACUAAACUUUACAGUAUGUAGAAAAUCAAAUCAGACAGUAUGUAGAAUGUCGAGUGCUGAAGAGGUUGUUCUUGCUGCGGCAGCAUGUGUUAUUUUAUCAAAAUGUAGAAAACCAAGAAGAUACUGGGUUCGACCUUCAUUGCAGGCAAGAGCAAAGUAUAGCGGCAGCGAUCUUUUAAAUGAUUUAAAUCGAGAUGAUACAGAUCCUUUGAUGGGAGAAUUGAGAUGCGAUGGCAGUGUAAAAAACUUUUUAAGAAUGUCAAGUGACGAUUUUGAAAGUUUAAUUGUUGGUAUUGGACACAUAAUUAGUAAACAGGAUACUAACUACAGGAAAGCAAUUCCAGUGCGAGAAAGAUUGGCUAUUACAUUGCGCUUUUUGGCGAGUGGCGACUUUUAUACUAGUAUCAGUUAUUUGUUUAAAGUUUUCAAAAGUGUGAUAUCUAUUUUAGUGCCAGAGAUUUGUGAGGCUGUUAUAGGUUUCCUGAAGGAUAACAUACAGGUGAGCAAAGAAAGAAAAUUACUAAAUAUUGUUAUUUUUAGAUUCCUUUUAUUUGUUUACAUUGUGCACUGAGUUGAAUAAAUCUAGACAAAAGUUAAUUGUUAAUAAAUCUAGACAAAAAAAGUUGCAACCUGGUAGUGACUUGUUAAUAAAAUAUGAACACAAAGUUAAGUUAAUGUUCCAAAGUAACACAAUUCAUAAAAUUAGAAAUAAAUGUAUACAUCAAAAAAACUCCAAAUCAAACAAAGAAACUCUAUAGCUUAAGAAAUAUAUAGCUUAGCUUGAGUAAUGUAUAGCUUAGCUUACAUUAUAGCUUACAUUGCACUAGCACAAACAACAAAACACAACAAGUCACGACGACUAGCCUGCUUGAACUGAGGAACUGACGCAGCGCGACCACGUGGAGCCAACAGGCGGGAGGGGUAGCGGGGUAGUUGCAGACUCAAGUUGCAACUCAAGUUAGCGCUGCAACUCGCAUUGCCAACCGGGGUUGGCAACCGCCUUUGAUCUUUACCGACUCCAGUCGGAAAACCAAAUUUCGAUUGCCAACUCGCAAAAUCGGUCUCCAACUACGGUUGGCAAUGCGAGUUGCAGUUGUUUUAAUGCGUGCAACUCAAAAUUGCCGAUAAAUGUCGGCAAUCAUUGGUUGCCAACUCCGGUGUAAACGCGGCUUUAUCCAUCACACUAGAAGGUAAUGAGAAUUGGACGUAACGUACCAGAGGCUGAGCAGGACAGGAACUGGCCUUGCCCAUCUUUAUGCGAGAUUCUUCAACAAGCUGCCAAUAGCAAGAGACCUGUCGACCAGGCGAUUCAAGGGCGCACUGAGGGAAUUGCUGGUGGAGAACCCAUUGUAUUCCAUCAGUCAAACCCGAAUGAAUUUGAAUAAUUGGAGUUUGUUGUAGAUCAAGAGUUAAUGGAUAUGAUGGAAAUAAGAAUGAGACAGACGCAGGAGUUGAGUCCUGGAAUGAGCACAGCUGGAGGCCAAGCUUGAAAUGAACGUUUCUGUUCGAAAGAUGUAAACAUAAACAAACAAUUCAUGUAUAUCGAUUAUAUCAGUUGACAAUAAUUAAAAUUUCUCGACAUAUUAUUACUUAUCAUUAUUUAAAUUUGAAUUGUAUUAUUUGUAUUGAAUUAUAUUAAAGAUUGUAAUAUUUUUGAA